UACGAAGGGGGCUAGCGUUGUUCGGAAUUACUGGGCGUAAAGCGCGCGCAGGCGGUCUUCCAAGUCAGUGGUGAAAGCCUGGAGCUCAACUCCAGAACUGCCAUUGAAACUGUUAGACUUGAGUACGAGAGAGGUGAGUGGAAUUCCCAGUGUAGAGGUGAAAUUCGUAGAUAUUGGGAAGAACACCAGUGGCGAAAGCGCUCUACUGGGCCAUAACUGACACUGAGGGACGAAAGCUAGGGGAGCGAAAGGG
rnacentral:rRNA from 1 species